rnacentral:rRNA from 1 species
CGGGGCUUAAAGUCUUGUAAUUGGAAUGAUGGGAAUUUAAACCUCUUCCAGAGUAUCAAUUGGAGGGCAAGUCUGGUGCCAGCAGCCGCGGUAAUUCCAGCUCCAAUAGCGUAUAUUAAAAUUGUUGCAGUUAAAAAGCUCGUAGUUGAAUUUCUGCUGCAUUGCUUGUGUCCCUCUGGGGUCUGUGCAUGUGGCUUUUUUCGGACUGAGUUUCUUUGUCUGAAUGUUUACUUUGAGAAAAUUAGAGUGCUCAAAGCAGGCUUUCGCCUUGAAUAGUUUAGCAUGGAAUAAUAAAGUAGGACUUUGGUUCUAUUUUGUUGGUUUUAGGUACCAAAGUAAUGGUUAAUAGGAACAGUUGGGGGCAUUCGUAUUUAACUGUCAGAGGUGAAAUUCUUAGAUUUGUUAAAGACGAACUACUGCGAAAGCAUUUGCCAAGGAUGUUUUCAUUAAUCAAGAAC